rnacentral:sRNA from 1 species
UCCUAGCCCUGAUAGCAGUGGAAAUCCUUUUUAAGGCUUCUAGCCUGAUAAAGGCUAGAAGCCUUAAAAAGAUUGCAACGAAUAGCAGGAAAUAGC